GCAAGAUGAUUUCUUUUCCUAUCAAUUAGAUUUAAGACAUCCUCAAGAACUAGAUUCCUGUCCAGAAGUAUAAUUUCCUUGUGAUCAUAUUUCUCAUAUCUGCGCCAUUCAAUUUUGUACUUGAGAUGCAAUAUAUUUGCAUAUCAGAUACUCAUUCUGCUAUUGUCAUACUCCUCUGCAUUGAUUGAUGUAUAUGCUAGGUGGUUGUUUAAAUUGUUGUCAAUUAAAUGGCUUUUGGAUGCAUGAUUUUCAGGGUGUCGCCAUAAAUUUUG
rnacentral:misc_RNA from 1 species